rnacentral:other from 4 species
CGCUCCCUGAAGUAUGCGCCAGUCGGUUAUGUCCCUGAGCCGAUACGCACAACCACGGAAGUUACACGCUAGGCUGGUGUGCAUGUCCGCUCGACGGAAAGCCUUAAAGCCUGCUGUAACCUCCACCUUGAACUUUCGGGUUCAAGGGCUACACCGACAGCGGUUCGUCGGGGAGCCC